rnacentral:rRNA from 1 species
UACGGAGGGUGCAAGCGUUGUUCGGAAUCACUGGGCGUAAAGCGCGUGUAGGCGGCCUUCUAAGGCUGAUGUGAAAGCCCGGGGCUCACCAUCGGAAGUGCAUUGGAUACUGGGAGGCUGGAGUACCGGAGAGGAGGGUGGAAUUCCUGGUGUAGCGGUGAAAUGCGGAGAUAUCAGGAGGAACACCGGUGGCGUAGGCGGCCCACUGGACGGAUACUGACGCUUAGACGCGACAGCGUGGGGAGCAAACAGG